rnacentral:misc_RNA from 1 species
UAGUGUAGUCAUGGGACAGG